rnacentral:tRNA from 1 species
UCCUGGCUGGCUCAGUCAGCAGAGCAUGUGACUCCUGAUCUUAUGGUUGUGAGUUCAAGCCCUAUGUUGGGUA